ensembl:lncRNA
UGCAAACCCAGGGGAGGGGGCCUGUAGAAGUGGGGAGGAGGGUUGUAUAGCAAGUUCAAUAUUAAAGAGAGCUAAGUUAACACAAAGAAAUAAAAGGGCGAUACUGAGGUCCCUGGAGACAUUCCCUAGGACUGGUUACACAAGCUCAGCAGUUUUCUCACCUCCUAGUCCCAGAGGGUACAGUGUCAUUAAUCGAGGUGCCCACCAGAAAAGGCAACCGCAGGUGUCCCCCACAGUCCACCAAGUUUCUGAAUAAAACUUGUCUCUACACUGAGGUUACCCAAGGAGCUUCAGAUAUUGCUGAUGGCCUAGUGGAAUCCUCAAAUACUGAGACUUAAUUCGUCUG